GGGUGUCUAGUUGAACUUAGGCAGGUGUUUGUUGUAGUCGGGCCGCUACAA
rnacentral:ncRNA from 2 species